rnacentral:rRNA from 1 species
UCUACGGGUGGCAGCAGUGAGGAAUAUUGGUCAAUGGCCGGAAGGCUGAACCAGCCAAGCCGCGUGAAGGACGAAGGUGCCAAGCAUUGUAAACUUCUUUUGUCAAGGGACAAAAUCAGGCUCGAGAGCCUGACCGAGGGUACUUGAAGAAAAAGCAUCGGCUAACUCCGUGCCAGCAGCCGCGGUAAUACGGAGGAUGCGAGCGUUAUCCGGAUUUAUUGGGUUUAAAGGGUGCGUAGGCGGUUUGAUAAGUUAGAGGUGAAAUGUCGGGGCUCAACCCCGAAACUGCCUCUAAUACUGUUGGACUAGAGAAUAGUUGCGGUAGGCGGAAUGUAUGGUGUAGCGGUGAAAUGCUUAGAGAUCAUACAGAACACCGAUUGCGAAGGCAGCUUACCAAACUAUAUCUGACGUUGAGGCACGAAAGCGUGGGUAGCAAACAGGAUUAGAUACCCGGGUAGUC